UACGUAGGGCGCAAGCGUUGUCCGGAAUUAUUGGGCGUAAAGAGCUCGUAGGCGGUUUGUCACGUCGGAUGUGAAAGCCCGGGGCUUAACCCCGGGUCUGCAUUCGAUACGGGCAGACUAGAGUGUGGUAGGGGGGAUCGGAAUUCCUGGUGUAGCGGUGAAAUGCGCAGAUAUCAGGAGGAACACCGGUGGCGAAGGCGGAUCUCUGGGCCAUUACUGACGCUGAGGAGCGAAAGCGUGGGGAGCGAACAGG
rnacentral:rRNA from 1 species